rnacentral:rRNA from 1 species
UUUAAUAAACAAAAUAAGGUUACUAAUUUUAAAUAAAAAAGUAGUAAGCAGAAGCUUUUUAAAUUAAAUAAUAAAACUUGGCUCUGAUUUUAAGUAUGGCAUGCACUAAGAAAUACACAUGGCUUUUAUAGAAAGCGGUGAGGUGGAAGGCAAAAUAUUAUAAAUUAGUAUAAAACUAUAAUAAUAUAGUCUUCUAG